rnacentral:rRNA from 1 species
AUGACAGAUUGAGAGCUCUUUCUUGAUUCGGUGGGUGGUGGUGCAUGGCCGUUCUUAGUUGGUGGAGCGAUUUGUCUGGUUAAUUCCGAUAACGAACGAGACUCUAGCCUGCUAACUAGGCGAUUUCCGGUACCCACAACAGUGUUACCGGCGAUUCAAUUUCUUCUUAGAAGGACAGGCGGCUCCUAGCCGCACGAGACUGAGCAAUAACAGGUCUGU